GUCGGAACGUGCCCGGAGGACGGGGAUAGCGGCGGGAAACUGCCGGUAAUACCCGAUGAUCUCGAGAGAGCAAAGGUGUGAUUCCGCCUUUGGAGCGGCCGACAUGGUAUUAGCUAGUUGGUGGGGUAACGGCCCACCAAGGCUUUGAUGCCUAGGGGAUGUGAGAGCAUGAUCCCCACCAUUGGGACUGAGACACUGCCCAGACACCUACGGGUGGCUGCAGUCGAGAAUCUUCGUCAAUGGGCGAAAGCCUGAACGAGCGACGCCGCGUGCGGGAUGAAGGCCCUUGGGUUGUAAACCGCUGUCGAGGGGGAUGAAGGCUUGAAGGUACUCCUUCAAGUUUGACAGAGCCCUGGAGGAAGCACGGGCUAAGUUCGUGCCAGCAGCCGCGGUAAUACGAACUGUGCGAACGUUAUUCGGAAUCACUGGGCUUACAGGGUGCGUAGGCGGCUAUUCAGGUCAGGUGUGAAAGCCCUCGGCUCAACCGAGGAACUGCGCUUGAAACCGGAUGGCUC
rnacentral:rRNA from 1 species